rnacentral:rRNA from 1 species
GAUCCUGGCUCAGGAUGAACGCUAGCUACAGGCUUAACACAUGCAAGUCGAGGGGGCAGCAUGAACUUAGCUUGCUAAGUUUGAUGGCGACCGGCGCACGGGUGAGUAACACGUAUCCAACCUUCCGUUUACUCAGGGAUAGCCUUUCGAAAGAAAGAUUAAUACCUGAUAGUAUGGUGAGGUUGCAUGAUAACACCAUUAAANAUUUAUUGGUAAACGAUGGGGAUGCGUUCCAUUAGGUAGUAGGG